rnacentral:misc_RNA from 1 species
UGUCCUCAUGUGCCUCAAACAAUAUUGAGCCAAAAAAAGUAAAGGAAGGAAAAAAAAAAUUCCUGUGGCAUGGUGGAUCGAGAGGUUACAAGAGAGCAUGGUUGUCUUUUUCUCUUAAAAAGAAAGAAAGAAAGAAAGAAAGAAAGAAAGGAAAAAGAAGCCUCUAUUGAAGAACAUUGGGUUGUAAAUGCUCUAAACAUUCAGAGACAAUGACAUUAAAUCCAUCUUCAUGAGAGCAAAAUUUAGAGAUGAGCAUUUGACAGAGGUCUGGUGACAAGGAAAUACCUCAAAUUUGUCUCGGAAAGUGUAAAUUCAUUUUGGCAUUGCCAUAUGUCUGGAUCAUUCACUACAAGUCUACAACAUAUUUGAAAAUUAAGAAGGAAAUAAGGAGGCUACCAUCAAAUAAGAAAAUACUAAAAUUUACCAGUCCGACCCAUCGGG